rnacentral:rRNA from 1 species
CACGGGGGGAGCAAACGUUGUUCGGAAUCACUGGGCGUAAAGGGCGCGUAGGCGGCCUCGUAAGUGGUGUGUGAAAGCCCGGGGCUCAACCCUGGGAGGCGGGUGGAUACUGUCGAGCUCGAGUCCGGAAGAGGCGAGUGGAAUUCCUGGUGUAGCGGUGAAAUGCGCAGAUAUCAGGAGGAACACCAAUGGCGAAGGCAGCUCGCUGGGACGGUACUGACGCUGAGACGCGAAAGCGUGGGGAGCAAACAGG